rnacentral:rRNA from 1 species
AGGCAGCAGUGGGGAAUAUUGCACAAUGGGCGGAAGCCUGAUGCAGCGACGCCGCGUGAGGGAUGACGGCCUUCGGGUUGUAAACCUCUUUCAGCAGGGAAGAAGCGUAAGUGACGGUACCUGCAGAAGAAGCGCCGGCUAACUACGUGCCAGCAGCCGCGGUAAUACGUAGGGCGCGAGCGUUGUCCGGAAUUAUUGGGCGUAAAGAGCUCGUAGGCGGCUUGUCGCGUCGGGUGUGAAAGACCGGGGCUUAACUCCGGUUCUGCAUUCGAUACGGGCUAGCUAGAGUUCGGUAGGGGAGAUCGGAAUUCCUGGUGUAGCGGUGAAAUGCGCAGAUAUCAGGAGGAACACCGGUGGCGAAGGCGGAUCUCUGGGCCGAUACUGACGCUGAGGAGCGAAAGCGUGGGAGCGAACAGGAUUAGAUACCCCUGGUAGUCCACGCCGUAAACGGUGGGCACUAGGUGUGGGCGACAUUCCAACGUUGUUCCGGUGCCCGGCCAGCUAACGCAUUAAGUGCCCCGCCUGGGGAGUUACGGCCGCCAAGGCUUACACUUCAAAGGAAUU